rnacentral:rRNA from 1 species
AUUGAACGCUGGCGGCAGGCCUAACACAUGCAAGUCGAGCGGAUGAGAGGAGCUUGCUCCUUGAUUCAGCGGCGGACGGGUGAGUAAUGCCUAGGAAUCUGCCUGGUAGUGGGGGACAACGUUUCGAAAGGAACGCUAAUACCGCAUACGUCCUACGGGAGAAAGCAGGGGACCUUCGGGCCUUGCGCUAUCAGAUGAGCCUAGGUCGGAUUAGCUAGUUGGUGAGGUAAUGGCUCACCAAGGCGACGAUCCGUAACUGGUCUGAGAGGAUGAUCAGUCACACUGGAACUGAGACACGGUCCAGACUCCUACGGGAGGCAGCAGUGGGGAAUAUUGGACAAUGGGCGAAAGCCUGAUCCAGCCAUGCCGCGUGUGUGAAGAAGGUCUUCGGAUUGUAAAGCACUUUAAGUUGGGAGGAAGGGCAGUAAAUUAAUACUUUGCUGUUUUGACGUUACCGACAGAAUAAGCACCGGCUAACUCUGUGCCAGCCGCCGCCGUAAGAC